rnacentral:rRNA from 1 species
GUUUGACCUCAAAUCAGGUAGGAA